rnacentral:snRNA from 1 species
AGCUUUAUGCAGUGGUAGUAUUGUAGCCAAUGAGGUUUAUUCAAGGUGCAAUUAUUGAUAAUUGAAAGCAUCUUAGCAGUGGUAGUUUCCUGGGGGGGACAGUAAGAUAGAAUGCCACUGAACUGG